rnacentral:SRP_RNA from 1 species
GCUGGGUGUGGUGGCUCAUGCCUGUAAUCCCAGCACUUUAGGAAGCCGAGGUGGGUGGAUCACCUGAGGUCAGGAGUUCCAGCCUGGCCUGACCAACAAGGUGAAACCUUGUCUCUA